AGCGACGCCGCGUGCGGGAAGAAGGCCUUCGGGUUGUAACACACUGUCGGGAGUUAAGAAAUGUAAGGAUGUUAAUAGUCUCUUUACUUGACUAAGGCUCCGGAGGAAGCCACGGCUAACUCUGUGCCAGCAGCCGCGGUAAUACAGAGGCGGCAAGCGUUGUUCGGAAUUAUUGGGCGUAAAGAGCACGUAGGCGGCUAUGCAAGUCAGCUGUGAAAGCCUUCCGCUCAACGGGAGAACAGCAUUUGAUACUGCAUGGCUCGAGUGCGGGAGGGGAGAGUGGAACUUCUGGUGGAGCGGUGAAAUGCGUAGAUAUCAGAAGGAACAUCGGCGGCGAAAGCGACUCUCUGGCCCGUAACUGACGCUGAGUGUGCGAAAGCUAGGGGAGCAAACGGGAUUAGAUACCCCGGUAGUCCUAGCCGUAAACGAUGGGCACUCGGUAGAGGGGUUUU
rnacentral:rRNA from 1 species